rnacentral:lncRNA from 1 species
UCCAUUUUAUUAUUCAGACAUGUAUAUAUGUGUAUAUUUCUGUUUCAGAAAGAUUUAGUGACAAUAGAUUUUUUGAGAAUGGGAGCCAAUUUGAUGUUAAAUAAAAAAAUAAGAUCUACCUCAUGUUUAAAGCACUCUGCAAAUGUUACAGAAUAUUUUAAGAUCUUAUCUGAAUUAUUUCUGUCAGUAAAUGAAGGAAGAAGCUACUUCAAAUUCCCCCAGACAUUUCAUUUCUUUCAUCAAACAUAUCUUCAUACAUGUGCCCUAAUGUAUAUUAAAAAUUGCCAAGUAGAAAAUUGCAGUCACAAACUCAUUUUGAUUUUUUAUAGUUAUCUUUUCCAAAUGUUUGUAUACAAGACAUCACUAUACACUGCUGAGAUAAAUGCAUACAAGAAAAAAUGCAUAAAAAAUAAAUAAAAGCUUAACAUAAACUGGAAGAAGUUGGAUUCAUAUAGAUAAGGAGGUCACUAUUAGAUAAUACUCUAUGAGUAUCUGAGACUUUAACACUGCAUUAUUGAAUAGUUAAAACUGAUGGUUUUAUCUUUAUUCUACAUGUAUGAGAUGUAAACUGUGAAUGUCACUGAUGUUUAUGCUAUCUAAGGAGCUGCUGUCUUAUCUUUUGUUGGUUCUUAGCUCUAUAUUUUGAGAGGUCUCAUAGAAUUGGAGCAAUUCUCUAAACCUGCUUUCCAUGGGGUUCUGCUUCACUGAGAAGGUUUGGUGUUUUAAAUUAUAUGGAAGUUUUUCUAGGAGCUUUAUAUGCUUGAUGGCAGAAAGCUGAAGAGUCUUUGGAUGUGAUCUGGACAAUCUUGCCACCAACAUUGGGCUGAAUAGUUGAUGUGAGGUCAGUUUUCCUGCAGUAUGACUGAGGGUUCAUGCCAUUUUGGUGAAUCCAGACCAUGUAUUUUAGAGUAAAGACCUAAGGUGUGGUUCUAAGUGCUCUCACCUAGCAUGCAAUUUACACAUCCAAGGAGGGUGAAGCUUUAUUUUGUAAUACUGCACCACGAGGAAUGCCUUGAUUUGGCAAGCCAUUGUUUAUGGUCACUCCUUAUACUAAGAAGAAAAAGUUUAGCCUUCUUUCUGAUAGAAGCCAGAAUGUCCUACAGACAUUCAAGAUCUGAAUAGCUGAAGAAGACAAGGCCAGAAAGUAACACAAUAUUAAGAUGGUGAUGGUACUCUGUUGUGUUUUACUUUUCAAAAUAUGGUAGGACCUUAUGUGACUGAAGCUAUCUCCCUUGAUGAAACUAACAUGCAAAAGACAUUGGGUACAUUUUUCAUUAUACCUUGCCAAUCAAAUUUCCCAUCCUGAUUUUUUUUGGUUAAAAAUUAAUUAAUCAAAGUGUGUCAUAUUUCUCAGAAGGUGAAUUUUUUACAUUUCUGAGCUUAAAGCCAAUAGAAAGCUGGCACUAAUAACUUAAAAGUAAGUCAACCCUUUAUGUCAGUGACUAUUCAGAUAUUAAAGUCACAUAAUAUGUAGAGGACUUUGAAGAAUUCAUUUUCUUCAGCAGGAAUAGUGGUCCCACAGAGAAUCCUCAUUUAUAACUAGUAUCUCAAAUCUUGUGGUUGUAAAAAUGUUACCUGUCGAAUUUUAAAAUCAGGCCAGAUUUAUAGUUGCUGCAGCAGCAAGGCUGGAUUUUUCUGGCAUAAUAAAUUUUAUCAAAUAAUUGUUCCAUAUCUUUUACAAAAAUUAUUACACUAGUUAAGUUUAGAAUUUCUUUAGGCAUGCUUGAGGUUAUGUUUAAUCACAUUUAACCUAAUUUGGGAAGGCAGUUCUACAUUUAAAUACAUUUUAUACAACAUACAAAUUCCCACAUUAGAUUAUAUAAGAUUUGAGACAUCUAUAACCCAAUACUGAUCUAAAUUCCCAAGCAAGAAUAUACUAAAUAUACACUUAAUUGCUUGUAAUUAUUUAAGCAUAUUGAAAACAUUAAAAAAUUGUGAAUAUCCUUGAACACUUGGAAAAAAUUUUGUAUACAUGUAUAUAUGAAAAUACAUAUAUUUUCACAUUUAAAUGGGCCUACAUGUCUAGAAAAUCUUUAUAAAAAAGGAGGACAUAUACAUUGGUUACAUAGAAAAUAGGUGCGUACUAGCUAAAUAUGUCAGUUAGUCCCCUGUGAAUUCUGCAUAAGCUGAAGAAACCACAGAGCGCAUUACAUGUAUCAUGUACUUAAGCAUUAUUAAUUUUUAAAACUUUCUUGGAAAACGUUUGGGCAAUAAAACUAAAAAUUAAUAACUUCUAAAACCAUAAAUUAUUAAGACGUCCAUUUCUUGCUACAUCAUAGUAGCUUUUAUCAAAUCAACUAUCACACUGAGACAACAAGAAAGCCUAGAUUGAAGAACAAAGAAAGAAAACCAGGACCUGAAAAGUCAAGGCUACAGAGAGAGCAUAGGCUGACCUUGUCUACUGUGCUUUCCCCUCUGUGUGUUUCCUGAGUGUGUCAGAGAAGCCAAGCAGAAAGUAGAGACUGAACAGUUUUAAAAGUCUCCUGGGAAAAAUUAUAAUCAAGGAAUAAAAAAGUCAGCUAGGCCAAGGCCCUGGAAAAAGGGUACCACAGAGAAGUGAAACCAACAUUGUAUAGACAUUUGGUGCUGCAGGUCAGUUGUCUGGGUGGCCUUGGAGUGACCUAGUUCUCUCCCUUUUCUUGCUUGGAGUUCUCAGGAACAGCUGUAGAUUGUGAUGGGAAUGCAACGUCUUGAGUUAGGGAGGAACUACUCUGGUACAGCCUUGGCUUUACUCCACUUUUCCCUGGAAGCCAGAUGUCUUUCAAAGAUUUGCCUGAUGAGUUACGUGCCUCUGAUGUAUAUAAUCCAGGGUGGGCUUCCUGUUGGGGUUCCUCAGCUGUAAUGCAAGUGGGACAUGCUCAGUUGAGACUUCACUUGCCCUGUGCAGCUUUGUUGAGGCAUGGAGGGAUUGGCUCACAACAGAUCCUAAGCUUCUUUUGUCUCUUGCUGCCUAUCUGUGAGUAAUAAAUCUGUUGCACAUAACUUGUUGUGUGUAUGUUUUGUCUCACCAGACUCAGACAAAUGGUAAUUAGUAAACCUGCUUUACAAAAUUGACAUAGUGAGUAGAGGCUGGUCUGAAAGAACCAUGGCUUAUGGGCAAAGUAGGGGCAGCAAAUAACCCCCAGGCUGGCACUGGGGGUUACUGCUCUACCCACUUUGCCAAUAAGCAUCAGCCUGGGCAAACAGGGGCUGGAUGUGCAGCUGGAUGUUUGAUCAGGAAAGAAGGGUGAUAAGGUAGGCAUAGGUCACCUCCCCCACCCAGAUGUGUGAGCUGGUUGCUGAUUGAGGCAGAGAGAGAGGAAUGCAGAAACAGGGGAGCACGGCACAGGAUCCCCUGGCUUUGGACACUUAUGUGACUGUUCAUUCCUGGCUAGAGAACUGGGAAAGUGAGUACUCAGAAGAACCCUGAAAGGGAACUAACACGUGUGCUAUGUGGGCCUUCACAGAAAGAGAGACUCAUUAUCUAAAGCAUAAAUAUAGAGAAAGGCCAGAGGAAUCUCAUGCAGCCUGGUUGAUUUUUUUUUUUUUUAAAUCAAGGGACAUUGCAAAUCCAAAUGUCUCAGGCAGAAUGGUACAGUUAGAAAUGGGGCCAGUCAGCCUGAGAAAUUAGGUUCUCAACUGGAGGUCAAUGCCAAUGUCCCUAUAAUCCUGUUAAAACAAGAGGAGAAAAGAAAGGAACUCGGACUUUUCUGGGGGCUCUUGGAUAUUAGAGCCCACAUAACAAUACUUCCAGGUCCCCUUAGGGGAAAAAUUAAACUGAUGACCUCAGGAGAAUUGGGGACAAAUAUGUGACUCGCAGUACUUAUUUGCUUAUGCUUGGGGUCCUUUGAGCCAUUUCAGGUGCCAGAGACUGUGGUUCCCAUAGCUGAGUACAUGAGAGUUGUGAGACAAAGUAGCAAGCAUCAUGCAUCCCUUAAAUAUAUACACCUACUAUGUGCCCACAAACAUAAAAAAUAAAAAGAAGCCAUGUGUAUAAGUCAGGGUUCUGUAGAGGGACAGAACUAAUAGGCGAUAUGUAUAUAUAGCCUAUUUUGUAUAUAUAUAUAUCACCUAUUAUAUAUAUAGGAGUUUAUUAAAGAGUAUUAAACUAAUACGAUCACAAGGUCCCACAAUAGGCCGUCUGCAAACUGAGGAGCAAGGAAGCCAGCCCGAGUCCCAGAGCUGAAGAACUUUAAGUCCUAUGUUUAAGGGCAGGAAGCAUUCAGCACAGGAGAAACAUGUAGGCUGGGAGGCUAAGACAGUCUAGUCUUUUCACAUUCUUCUGCUUGCAAUUUAUCCUAGUCAUGCUGGCAGCUGAUUAGAUUGUGUCCACCCAGAUUAAGGCUGAGUCUGUCUUUUCCAGUUCACUGACUCAAAUGUUAGUCUCCCUUGGCAACACCCUCACAGAUACACCCAGAAUCAAUACUUUGCAUCCUUCAAUCCAAUCGAGUUGACACUCAGUAGUAACCAUCACACUAUGCUCAUUUCUGCUUUCCAGCAUGAUUUCACAAAGCCCCUGACUCUGUGAUGAUGUGCAGCUCUCAGAAAGACGCUUUAAAGACAAAACAGGAUAGACCACUCCCACCCCCAUGCCUCUUGCCCUAGUCACUGUAUUCCUUAGAAGAUAAAUAAUCCUAGUCCUUUCCUCUUCUACAGAUAAGAUAAUGUCUGACAGGGUUAGUGAUUAUGCCUCUGUAAUCUAUAGCCAGAUGUACUCUUACACCCAAACCUUGAUCUGAUUCUGCUCUAAUAUAACUUCUGAACAAGUUUAAUACAAUUUUACAUGUACUAAACACUUACCAUCUCUAUAUAAGCAUUGGGCUAAAAUACUGUGCCAAACAGUCUAAUAAAAACCCUCCACAGGGCUGCCACCAGGCUAUAGGCCUUGGUCUAUAGUCCUCAAUAAAACUUAUAAAUAAAACCCACCGUAACUCUUUAAAAGCUUUUUUUUUCUUUAGUUGACAUACGCAUUGACACUCUGGCUGCUUGUGGAACAGAAUAUCACCACAUCAUAGCCAAGAAUUCGAGCCUAACAGUGGAACAUAUCCACUUCAGCCUGCCACCUAAGCUACCCAAGUCCCAAGUUUCUUCCGCAAAAGCAGUACUGCAAGCUAAGUGGAAAAUAGGGUAUUAUUUUGCUAAUUCAGGCCUUGCUACACACUACACUAUCACAAUGUAACAGCCUCUUCUGGCUGGUCAAAAAGGCCUUUGGGGCACAGAGACUAACAAUGGACUGUCCAGGCUGAAUGCCAGAGUCACUUGGGCAGGAUGCCAAAAAGGUAUUCCAGAGACAGUGAAAUAAAUAUUUUUAACCCUGGAGGUACUCACUAAUAAAAAGGAGGCCUAAUAGCUGGCAGGCAUCUUUGGGUACUAGAGACAGUAUGUACCCCACCUGGGUGUUCUGUUGGUCCCCUUAGUCAGGUGACCAGCAAAGCUACUAACUUUAAGUGGAACCCUUUGCAGCAGCAGGCUUUGGAAGCCAUUCAAUGAGCUGUGGCCCAGGCACUGACUUUAAAAGCUUUAAAGCCUGCUACCCUGAUGAAAUGACAUGUGUGCAUAACCACUCUGCAUGUGGAUUGGAGUCUGUGGCAACAGAAAAUUGCCAAUGGGGUGUGCAAGCCUCUUGGAGUUUGGACAUGUAAGUUGCCUGAGGCCGCCUGCAGAUACACCUCUUUUGAAUGACAACUCCUUGCUUGCCAUUGGACACUAAAGGAGACUGAGCAUCUUGUGACUGAACUGCCACAAAAGACACUGCAACUUGAACUGUCCAUUCUCACCUGGGCACUCACAAACCUUGCCAAUGAAAUUGGACAGGCUCAAUACAGCUCAAUGAUCAAAUGGAUAGGAUACAUUCAAAAGAUUGGGCUUAGCAGCCAAGAGACCAGUAGGCUCCAUGAGCAAGUGGCUAACUUGCCAGAAGGGACUAAACAACAUGUAGGGGAUGUUUUGGAUCCUCCUAUGGAUACCUGGGGCCCAAGACUGAGACGUGCCUACUGACAGUAUGACAUGGCUUGUUUACUGAUGGCUCUUCCAAAUGGCAAGCAGGCAGGGUUCCCUGGGCUGUGGUAGCCAUCUAGCCAGUGGAUAGGUAUCUCAUGGCUGAGACUGGACAUGGGCAUUUUGAACAAUGGGCCAAACUACAUGCAGUGGUGAUAGCCACAUAGACUUCCUCUACCACCCUAUCUUGCUACAUUUUCACUGACUCAUCAGCUGUUGCCAACAACCUAGACAUCUCGUCAGAAGAAAGGCAACUAAGUGGAUGGAUUAUUAAAGGACAAGUACUAUUACAAUAACUUGCUGUCUGGAAUGGGAAAGUAUAUAUGUCACUCAUGUGGAGGAUGGGACUAACAUAGCUUCUCUUAAAAGGAACACAUGUCAUGUUUUUGAUUACCCCACGGAACUUCACUCUGACCAAGGAAUGGUUACUACCCAAAUAACACAACAAUGUGUGCAUUCUCCUAAAAUACAAUGGACUUUCCAUACACUUUGUCAUCCUCAGGCCAAUGGAGCUGUUGAAUGGUGGUGGAGCCAACUCACAAAACAACUGAAGAAAUGACAUCAAGAUGGCCUGCUAAUGGAGUGACAACCCCUUCUGACUAGAGCAAUGUGGUCACUAAACACUGCACUCUAAUCCAAGGGAAACAUGGUACUGCAGCUCAAGUUGACAGAGCUUGGUGGAGGUGGAGGUGGACUAAGUAGCUGCCUGGAGGUUGACAGAGAUGCAGAGCUUGGUGGAGGUGGAGGUGGACUAAGUAGCUGCCUGAUUAGGCUGUGCCUGCAAAAUCCCAAUUCCAGUGUUCCAAACUAUGAUUUUUGUUCUUCCCCUUUACAGUGCAUGUCCUGGAGGGUGGUUUGCAGUUUAGGCCACCCUAGUACCCCAGACAAGGCUCCCUAACUUCAAGGUGAUACUUCUCCUGGGUUCUUCUCCUCUAUGGGAUUCCACAGAGGUGGAGAACAAGACCAAGGAAUACCAGGAUGCUAGGGUUCCCCUGGAGGCAGGGAGCGUUUAAUCCUUCCAGUAUAGUGGAUGUUAUCAGACAUGUCAAGUUAAUACAGGAUAUAACCUCCCUUCCUAGGCUGGAUGACACAGGCCCAAAGGUCUGGGUCAAGCAACAAGAAUAAUGAGUGAUCACAAAGGUAUUAGCCUUGGGACUGGGGCAGACAGAUGGGUUCACUACACCAACUCAGCCCAACCCUUAUGCAAUAGGUAGGGGAUACCUGAGAUCCUGGGAGGGUAGAGGGGUGGGAAACUAACUUGUUAAUCUGCUUUUUCCACGAGGACAGGGUAGUACAGGCCUAGAAAUAUAAUAUCAUUUUUAGGCUCUCCCAGACUGUGGCAAUGUGGAUAAUCUGAUAAAGUGUUGGAUCUUUCAUAUGGGCCUCAUUCUGUCACAGACCACAGUUACCUGCCAGUGAUAAAACCACACCAGCAUUCCUUAAUGCCACAGUGUACACUAACAGAACCUGAGCAGCCCUAGCUUAUUGAAUGAGGAUCUGGUACCUGUUGCAUGGGAGAGAGCAGAAGGUUCUCUGUUUUAACUUAUAACUGACUGUGUGGCAAAAUAUCACAACUAUAACUAAACAGAAUCUUGGUGGGCUUGUGCUCUGAUGCACUAAGCUCCUCUGAUUACAUGGAUCAGAAAUGUUACAGUGGUAAUAAAGAAAACAAGAACUGGACCAGUGCUAGUCCUCUGCAUAGGAGUUUCAUGAACAAUAUUAUAUGAAGGAAAUUGGGCUCAUGCAACUAUGCCAUCAAUGAGACUUGGCUGGGAAAUGUCAAUGCCUCUUUACCAAUGAGUGGCUCACUGAACAAAGAAACAAAGAAAGGGGUGCUGUGUGUGCCCAAGCGUUGCAUCUCUCUCUGCAGGUGGCUGGGGAUGGCCUAGAUACAGGAUAGACAAUGCCAUGCCUGUAAAGCUGGUAGCUGGUGGGAUCCUGCACAUUGGGUGUACUAGGGGUGCCCCUAGAUAUCACCCUGGGAAGGAGAUGCUCCAUUAGGCCAGUGGCCUUAAGCUUUUACACAGGCUUACUAGGAACCCACCAGGAGGUGGGAUUGACUUUGGGUUUAUGUCCUUUAUUAGAUCUUUGAUGUCACACAUGAGUUGGUACUCAUAAAAAAGUAGUAAGAACCCUGCCUCUGACCAUGCAGAUAUUGCUUUUCCACUGCCACUGUCUUGGAAGCCCUAGACAUCCCCCAGAUUCCUCAGGAAAGUUGUUUUAGACAGUGGAAUUGCCCGAGACUUUCUUUUAGCUCAAUUGAGAGGAGUGUAUGUGUUUGGCAAUUCCUACUGCUGUAGCUAGAUAAACACCUUAGGUACAGUAGAGACAUAAGUAGAGGAGAUCUGGAAGCAGGUCCACUGGCUACAAACAGUGGGGCUAUCUGAUAAUCCUUCUUUGCCUUUUUUUUUUAGCAACUUCUUACCUGAGACACUGGUAUCCUGGAUUAGGUCACUGCCUCAAGCAGGUCUGGCUGUCCUGCUAGUGGUGUAGUCCUUUGGGAUCCAGUAAAGGAUUUUCUGUCUGUUACUCAACAGUGUUGCACUGAGUUUGGGUCAGUCAAGGUGCUACAUCAGUCUGGCUAGAUAAACCUCUUCCUCCAGAUCCAGAGAGGUUGGUGGGCAUUUGAAAUGCACUGACUUUGCUACGAGAGAUGUCUGGCUAGAGGGGUAGACCUUAGGACAAUUCUCCAGGUGGCCUUGGACAUACCUAGUUAUCCCUGUUUCUUGCUUGUAGUUCUCAAAAAUAACUAUAGAAUGUGCUGGGAAUGCAACAUCUUGAGUUAGGGAGGAACUGCUCUGGUACAGCCUGGGCUUUACUCCUCCUUCCUGUGGAAGCGAGAUAUCCUUCAAAGCUUUGCCCAGUGAUCAUGCGGCCCCUGGGUUAUAUAACUCAGAACAGGCUGCCAGCUGUGUUUCCUCAGCUGCAGUGCAAGUGGGGCAUGCUCCGUUGAGACUUUAUUCACUCUGGGCAGUUUGUUGAAGAUUAGGUGGUCAGCUCACAAUGAAUCAUAAGCUGCUUUUGUCCCUUGCUGUCUAUGCUUAGAAGCUAAAAGGUUAAGCAGCGAUGUCAGCGCUAUCAGGGAGCUGUGGAGACUGGAAUUGAAGUUCAGAACCUUUCAUGGGAGACAGCUCAGCUCCGCAGUAGCUUUGAAAACAAGCAGCCCACAAUCAUGCUGACAGCCAGAAGUCUGGCAGACACUGGGAUUGAAAUAUAAUGUUGGAUAUUCUACAAAGCCUCAUUUCCAGAAAAUUGUGAUUAUUUAAACUGUCUCUCAAUUCCUGGAAAACUCCACUUACAAGACUGCCUUUAUUUGACCUGAUUUGGAGCUUGGGUAGUAUUAACAGCUUUAUCCUCAGGGGCAUUGGUUAAAAAAAGAAAAAAAAAAUCCAUGGGCAAAGUUUAACAUUAUGGCUCUGUGAGACAGUAGAUAACAUUAAAUCCAAACUAUAGAGUUUGGCAAUGAUGAACUUAGGCAAAGUAAGACGUUUGCAAGGUAAAUCUUAAGAAUGAGAUGUUUAUGAGGAGUUUGGAAAAACUUUGACUUAUUUCUAAAAAUCUACAUGGCUUGCUGCAUAUGUGUACAGCUCUAGGUAUGUCCAGAGUUGUGUGAUUGCUCUGGAAAUAUAUGAGAAAGUCCUAAGCUCUCACUUCUAAUUAACCUUGAGGCUUUGUGCAAACAAGAAGUAAAGGUGAAGUCAGAGUUGUAAACAAGUGGCUGAGUGUUUAAGAUGUUAUCUCAAUACACAUGCUAAGCUCCUUGGCAAAGAUUAGUUCCACACAUUUAAAAACACCUUUUUCUAACCAUUAGCUGACCAAAACACCAACCAAGCAGAAAUUUCAGUGGUCAUACUUUGUACCAUAUUUUAAAAAUUGACUCAAAAUGGAACUAACUAAAAAAAGAUUGGAGGCUGUAAUGUUGCAGCUAAAACUAUACAACUCUUAGAAGAAAAUAAGCAUAAAUCAUUUUGACAUUGAUUAAAACAAUGAUUUCUUAGAUAUGACACCAAAAGCAAAAGCA